GUUUUGUUUACGUUUUGCAUUGAUCAGAAUGUGCACAUGUGUGCGUUAAGGGGUUAAGCCUUGUACUUGCCCAAAAACAUGACAAGGGUAUGUGAAGGGUCAUUCUGUACUCAGGAGAUAAAGCUGAACAAAAUUUUUGUUAUUUCUUUAUUACGUCAAAUUUACAAAAUAAAACAAUUGCAAUGCACAUAUACUAAAAAUGCAAAAAUACACUAUCAAACAAUAAAAGUAGGUGAAAAAAAUUACUGUACCAUAAGGAUCAAAAUAUAUCAUAUGCCAUUUCCUCUGGUAUCUUCUUUUGCAAAUGAUAUGCAUGUAAAAUGAUGAAGCUAUAGUUUUAAAUACCUUUUACUAAUAACCACAGUCUUACUCCAACCAGUUGUCUUUUUCUUAGCUUCACCCACUGACAUUAGUAAUUCUUGAAUUGCCUUUCACUAAUGUCCUGUAAACACUGCAUUCAAAACUUAGGCGAGGGAGGACUGUGUAGACUUCAAAAACAGGGCACCUUUUACAAACAGCAGUAAUAUCUCCAAUCGCAGAUAUUUAUUGGCAUCUCCAGUGAUAUAUGAGAAUUGCAAGUGUGACAAUUGGGAGUAAGCAUAAAACUGCGCGUAUGCUGAAAAUUGUAAGAUGAUUCUUUGCUGUUGAGUUACUCUCUAAUAAAAAAAAAAAAAAUCAAAUUUAUGUAAAGACAUAUAUAUUAGUACACAAUUUUAUAAGUGGGUGGAAUACCAAAGUCAAUAUUUUAUAUAUGUAUAUGAAGAGCAAUAAACAAAGAGCUACACAAUGCAGAUAUUACUUGGAUUUCAAUGUGAUGUAUUUUAGAAACUGUAGCAAUAGCGGCAAGUGACUGUCCCCUUUCCUAUUGUAAAGGUACAGCCUUCUAAAAAUGCUGGCUACUAGUGGUCAUUUGUAUGUACACAAAAAUAUUGAAAGCAAAGGAGCUCUUAUGUUAUAUUGUUCCCAUGUCAUCGAAGGAAACCCAAAAAAUUUUUAGCAGAGAGGAAAUUUUUGUAAAAUAUUUUUUUAAAAGUGUUUUUUGAAGCUUGGAAUAAUUAUUAAUUAUUUUUAAAAUACUACUAUUUCAUGGCAAAAGCAGCACUGUGACGGUGUACUUGCCUUUCCCUAAUUGCUUCUCUCUCUCAGGAUCUGUUCAUAUUUUCU